rnacentral:lncRNA from 1 species
CAACUUUAUAAGUGACCAAAACUCCAACUUUACAUCCAAGGUUUCCUAUACUCCUUCAUGUUGUGAUCAAAGUGCUCAAUCUUUAAAAAAGUUUCAAAAGCUCUUCAUUUCUUACUCCUACUCUCUAAGAUCUUCAAAGCAAGUAAGAAGUGAUUUAUGUUUCAAUAUUUCCCAUCUCCUACCAUCAUUCUUGUGUGUUUCACUUUGGUUGAGAGGGUUGUUUCAAGACCAC